GGAAGUAAAAGCGUAACAAGGUCUCCGUAGGUGAACCUGCGGAGGGAUCAUUACACAAAUAUGAAGGCGGGCUGGAACCUCUCGGGGUUACAGCCUUGCUGAAUUAUUCACCCUUGUCUUUUGCGUACUUCUUGUUGCCUUGGUGGGUUCGCCCACCACUAGGACAAACAUAAACCUUUUGUAAUUGCAAUCAGCGUCAGUAACAAAUUAAUAAUUACAACUUUCAACAACGGAUCUCUUGGUUCUGGCAUCGAUGAAGAACACAGCGAAAUGCGAUAAGUAGUGUGAAUUGCAGAAUUCAGUGAAUCAUCGAAUCUUUGAACGCACAUUGCGCCCUUUGGUAUUCCAAAGGGCAUGCCUGUUCGAGCGUCAUUUGUACCCUCAAGCUUUGCUUGGUGUUGGGCGUCUUGUCUCUAGCUUUGCUGGAGACUCGCCUUAAAGUAAUUGGCAGCCGGCCUACUGGUUUCGGAGCGCAGCACAAGUCGCACUCUCUAUCAGCAAAGGUCUAGCAUCCAUUAAGCCUUUUUUUCAACUUUUGACCUCGGAUCAGGUAGGGAUACCCGCUGAACUUAAGCAUAUCAAUAAGCGGAGGAAU
rnacentral:rRNA from 1 species